AAGAGCAAGUAACGUCUAAAUUAACUUUUUUUUGCUGAUGAACUGUAUAAAUGAGUGUCUAAUAGUGUUUUAAAUGUGUGCAUUCUUUAUUUUAGCAUUUUGGUGCAUUUUCUUUAAAAAUUAAAAAUUCUGUCUAAAAACCACAGUAAUGCGCCACCUUCAGCUGAAAACAUAGAAUUUGAGUCAUUUUGAAUAAAUUUUAGCCAAUGGCUAAAGAGUAAAGUACUACGUAAACCAGUAGAGUACUACGUAGCAGCUCCGUGCCAAAGUUAUAAAAGCAACGAGUGUCUCGGCCACGCCCUGUGGCGAGUGGGAGUUGGAUUUGCAAGUGAGUGUAGGAGGUCAGCGGUAGUUCAGCAUUAGCAUAUAGCAUUAGCAUAUCCUAGUCUUAGCAUAUCUUUUAGUGUUAUAAAUACUUAUUUAGUGUUAGAUUUGGCUGUUUGAUAUUGUAGUUUAGUUAAUGUUUGGCUGUUAGUGUAAUUGGGAAAGUAUUUCGGGUUUAGUGCUCCAUAUCGUCUUAGUAUUGGUGAGUAGGUGUAGUGUAGUAUGCUUGCGGUGACUCUGUGGGCAUUUUACCCGCGAUUCUGCACGUCUCCGUUUGAAGAGGGAGGCUGCCCACCGUGGCUCUUCCGCGAUUUAGAUGCAGCCCACCGACUCUGCUCCCCCACCACGGUGGGCUCCAGUCUGAGGUGAGUAAGCUAAAUAAACGUUUUAACAUCUUCUAAAGACAAUUCCCUACCUAAAUGCAAAGUUUGAGAGACGUGGUUCACUUCCUUUAGCUAGUCAGUCGGCAAUUCUGCAACAGUGGCUCUAACUGACGCAGCACUUGACAGACAGCAUUACAGUGUGAAAUCCAGCUUGUGAACAGGUUCCGUGAGGAAUUCUGUUCAGGAGGUCGCAUUUCAGGCUCUCCACAUCAUGUGUGACUGACUUUUACAUUAUAAUGAUCACACACUAGGAAUGUUAUAAAGCGCCUAUAUGGGACAGUUUCUUUUGUAUAUUAUCUGACUUUAUAAACUCUCAACAACAAUGUGCUUAUAUAUUUUUUUCAGGCUAAAUCUACCCAAGACACUGGCUGUCAGACUGAUUUAGCUGCAAGAAUGCACUUGUCCAGGCUGACGUGAAACCUUCCCUUUAGCAAAGCCAGCCAGAAUGGAGUUCACAGCCGCAGUGUGUCUGGUGACCCACGGGGACCAUGAUGAAAAUUCAUCUUCCAGAAGGUCCCAGAGCAGCGGCCACACCCCCUGAAAAGACCAAGGUGUGAGGUGUCUGCUGUUGAUUCCAGCUUCCACCUCAGUGACAGUGCAAGCUCAGUGAACUGUUCAAGCCUGGCUGAUCACCUGAUAACUCCUGUCAUCUGGUUAUGACAGCAUGAGGAUGUCCUCACACACCUGUAACCUAUCAGCUCAUCUGGCAGAAUAGAGAGAGAAGAGACAACACCACAUCUCCUGUUCCUGGAAAGCCUUCAGCCAUCCUUCGAUGACUGAGAACCUCCAUCAGCUCUGUCUCCUGUCUGCCUACAAUUAUUAUAAUAAAUAUUGUGUUUGACAAGUUUUUUUGUGCUGCCAAAUGUCUCAUAUAGA